rnacentral:rRNA from 1 species
AUUGAACGCUGGCGGCAGGCCUAACACAUGCAAGUCGAGCGGAUGAAGGGAGCUUGCUCCUGGAUUCAGCGGCGGACGGGUGAGUAAUGCCUAGGAAUCUGCCUGGUAGUGGGGGAUAACGUCCGGAAACGGGCGCUAAUACCGCAUACGUCCUGAGGGAGAAAGUGGGGGAUCUUCGGACCUCACGCUAUCAGAUGAGCCUAGGUCGGAUUAGCUAGUUGGUGGGGUAAAGGCCUACCAAGGCGACGAUCCGUAACUGGUCUGAGAGGAUGAUCAGUCACACUGGAACUGAGACACGGUCCAGACUCCUACGGGAGGCAGCAGUGGGGAAUAAUGGACAAUGGGCGAAAGCCUGAUCCAGACAUGCCGCGUGUGUGAAGAAGGUCUUCGGAUUGUAAAGCACUUUAAGUUGGGAGGAAGGGCAGUAAGUUAAUACCUUGCUGUUUUGACGUUACCAACAGAAUAAGCACCGGCUAACUUCGUG